UACGAAGGGGGCUAGCGUUGUUCGGAAUUACUGGGCGUAAAGCGCUUGUAGGCGGUCCACCAAGUUUGGGGUGACAGUUGCCGACUUAAUCGGCAAAGUGCCUCAAAGACUGGCGGACUUGAGGGCCACAGAGGGACAUGGAACUCCAGGUGUAGUGGUGAAAUGCGUAGAUAUCUGGAAGAACACCAAAGGCGAAGGCAGUGUCCUGGGUGGUCGCUGACGCUGAGAGGCGAAAGCCAGGGGAGCGAACGGG
rnacentral:rRNA from 1 species